rnacentral:rRNA from 1 species
GAUGAACGCUGGCGGCGUGCCUAAUACAUGCAAGUCGAGCGAACAGACGAGGCGCUUGCUCCUCUGACGUUAGCGGCGGACGUGUGAGUAACACGUGGAUAACCUACCUAUAAUACUGGGAUAACUUCGGGAAACCGGAGCUAAUACCAGAUAAUAUAUUGAACCGCAUGGUUCAAUAGUGAGAGACGGUUUUGCUGUCACUUAUAGAUGGAUCCGCGCCGCAUUAGCUAGUUGGUAAGGUAACGGCUUACCAAGGCAACGAUGCGUAGCCGACCUGAGAGGGUGAUCGGCCACACUGGAACUGAGACACGGUCCAGACUCCUACGGGAGGCAGCAGUAGGGAAUCUUCCGCAAUGGGCGAAAGCCUGACGGAGCAACGCCGCGUGAGUGAUGAAGGUCUUCGGAUCGUAAAACUCUGUUAUUAGGGAAGAACAAAUGUGUAAGUAACUAUGCACGUCUUGACGGUACCUAAUCAGAAAGCCACGGCUAACUACGUG